rnacentral:rRNA from 1 species
AGAGUUUGAUUAUGGCUCAGGAUGAACGCUGGCGGCGUGCCUAACACAUGCAAGUCGAGCGGAGAUAAGUUGAAGCCUAGCGAUUCUUAUCUUAGCGGCGGAUGGGUGAGUAACACGUGGGUAACCUGCCCUGCACUGGGGAAUAACAGCUGGAAACGGCUGUUAACGCCGCAUAUGCGCACGGAGCCGCAUGGCUUUGGGCGGAAAGAUUUAUCGGUGCAGGAUGGGCCCGCGCCGGAUUAACUAGUUGGCGGGGUAACGGCCCACCAAGGUGAUGAUCCGUAGCCGACCUGAGAGGGUGACCGGCCACAUUGGGACUGAGACACGGCCCAAACUCCUACGGGAGGCAGCAGUGGGGGAUAUUGCACAAUGGGGGAAACCCUGAUGCAGCGACGCCGCGUGAAGGAUGAAGUAUUUCGGUAUGUAAACUUCUAUCAGCGGGGAAGAAGAUGACGGUACCCGACUAAGAAGCCCCGGCUAACUACGUGCCAGCCGCCGC